rnacentral:rRNA from 1 species
CAGCAGCCGCGGUAAUACGUAGGGUGCGAGCGUUAAUCGGAAUUACUGGGCGUAAAGCGUGCGCAGGCGGUUUUGUAAGACAGGCGUAAAAUCCCCGGGCUCAACCUGGGAAUGGCGCCUGUGACUGCAAAGCUAGAGUGCGGCAGAGGGGGAUGGAAUUCCGCGUGUAGCAGUGAAAUGCGUAGAUAUGCGGAGGAACACCGAUGGCGAAGGCAAUCCCCUGGGCCUGCACUGACGCUCAUGCACGAAAGCGUGGGGAGCAAACAGGAUUAGAGACCCGCGUAGUCCCUGUCUCUUAUAC